AUACGUAGGUGGCAAGCGUUGUCCGGAAUUAUUGGGCGUAAAGGGCGUGCAGGCGGUUCUAUAAGUCUGAUGUGAAAUCUUGCGGCUUAACUGCAAGCGGUCAUUGGAAACUGUAGGACUUGAGUCCAGAAGAGGAGAGUGGAAUUCCACGUGUAGCGGUGAAAUGCGUAGAGAUGUGGAGGAACACCAGUGGCGAAGGCGGCUCUCUGGUCUGAGACUGACGCUGAGGCGCGAAAGCGUGGGUAGCAAACAGGAUUAGAUACCCUGGUAGUCCACGCCGUAAACGAUGAGUGCUAGGUGUUGGGGGUAUCCACCCUCAGUGCUGAAGUAAACACAUUAAGCACUCCGCCUGGGGAGUACGGCCGCAAGGCUGAA
rnacentral:rRNA from 1 species